GAAUUGCGAUAAGUAGUGUGAAUUGCAGAAUCUAGUGAAUCAUCGAAUCUUUGAACGCACAUGGCGCCCCCUGGCACUCCGGGGGGCAUGCCUGUUCGAGUGUCGUCCCCAACCCCUCGAGCGUCGCUCGGUCUUGGGAGGUGCCCGGUGCCGGGCGCUCCCUAAAUCUAGUGGUCCGACCGCCACCGCCCGCGCGGAGUAGAAGCUGGUAUCGCUCCGGGCCGUGGCGGGCCGUGACCAGAACCCCCAUGAGAUAUUUGACCUCGGAUCAGGUAGGAAUACCCGCUGAACUUAA
rnacentral:misc_RNA from 1 species